GACGAACGCUGGCGGCGUGCCUAAUACAUGCAAGUUGAGCGCUGAAGGUUGGUACUUGUACCAACUGGAUGAGCAGCGAACGGGUGAGUAACGCGUGGGGAAUCUGCCUUUGAGCGGGGGACAACAUUUGGAAACGAAUGCUAAUACCGCAUAAAAACUUUAAACACAAGUUUUAAGUUUGAAAGAUGCAAUUGCAUCACUCAAAGAUGAUCCCGCGUUGUAUCAGCUAGUUGGUGAGGUAAAGGCUCACCAAGGCGAUGAUACAUAGCCGACCUGAGAGGGUGAUCGGCCACAUUGGGACUGAGACACGGCCCAAACUCCUACGGGAGGCAGCAGUAGGGAAUCUUCGGCAAUGGACGAAAGUCUGACCGAGCAACGCCGCGGGAGUGAAGAAGGUUUUCGGAUCGUAAAACUCUGUUGGUAGAGAAGAACGUUGGUGAGAGUGGAAAGCUCAUCAAGUGACGGUAACUACCCAGAAAGGGACGGCUAACUACGUG
rnacentral:rRNA from 1 species